CACAAUGUUCAACAGAAGUAAAGUUCUUAAAAUCUAAAGUAUUGUUCAAAAUGUUUUUAAGUUUGUCACUAGAGGUGUGACCCAAUCGUCUAUGCCAUGUUGUUGUAGUGAUGGCACCUGCAAAACAAUCUCUACCACUGGUUUGUGGUAGAAGAUACAGCCCCUUCUUCAUUUUACUCAGACCAACUUCCUUCAUCUGAACCUUGUCAAAUAUAAGGGCACAAGAUUUAGAGAAUUGAACUUCAUAAGUAUCAUGUUGUGUUAAUUUGCUAAUUGAUAGCAAAUUAACUUGGAAGGAUGGGGUAUAGUACACAUCCUUUAGUGUGAUAUCAGAUGAAACUUUAAUAUCACCUUUUUGAGAUACUAUCUGACUGUCCCCAUUGGGCAGUGAGAUUUUAAAUGAAUCACAUUUCGUGAGUUUUAGGAACAAGGAUUCAUUGCCACUCAGGUGUUCUGAUGCACCUGAGUCAACAAUCCAGUAUGUGUUAAUGGAAUUUGAAAGAACAUUAUUAGCAUUACCUGAAUCUCUGCGCUUGGGCAGGGGCCUUGGAUUGUACUUCUCUGAAUAUA
rnacentral:lncRNA from 1 species